UGGGGAAUAUUGGACAAUGGGCGCAAGCCUGAUCCAGCCAUGCCGCGUGAAUGAUGAAGGCCUUAGGGUUGUAAAGUUCUUUUGUCAGGGAAGAUAAUGACGGUACCUGAAGAAUAAGCACCGGCUAACUUCGUGCCAGCAGCCGCGGUAAUACGAAGGGUGCUAGCGUUGUUCGGAAUUACUGGGCGUAAAGCGCGCGUAGGCGGUUUAACAAGUCAGAGGUGAAAGCCCUGGGCUCAACCCAGGAAUUGCCUUUGAAACUGUUAGACUUGAGUGUCGGAGGGGAUAGCGGAAUUGCUAAUGUAGAGGUGAAAUUCGUAGAUAUUAGCAGGAACACCGGUGGCGAAGGCGGCUAUCUGGACGACAACUGACGCUGAGGCGCGAAAGCACGGGGAUCAAACAG
rnacentral:rRNA from 1 species